AUAAGGGCGACUGAAACGGGACCUAGCCCAGCGCAUAACCUCGCGGUUCGGACAGAGCCGACGAGGGGUGUUGCGUAUCGGUGGAUCCGUCCCGCCCGUGCCCUACCGCCUAAGUCCAAGUAGGAAUACAGCCCCAUGGAGGGUGAGAGGCCCGUGUGGCGGCGCCCGCAAGGGCUACUAGGGCGCGAGCGGAGGGAUCGCUUCACCGGAGAGUCGGGUUGCUUAAUACUGCAGCCCUAAGAGAGGUGGUAAACUCCAUCUAAGGCUAAAUAUAACCACGAGUCCGAUAGGAGACAAGUACCGUGAGGGAAAGUUGAAAAGGACUUUGAAGAGAGAGUUCAACAGUACGUGAAGCCGUUAGAAGCCUAAACGGGUGGAACCGCGAAGGUCGAACGAGGGCACUCACCUCGUCGGGCGGGCGGGACUCGGGGCGCUCCGACAGGCCGGCGCCGAAGCCUAUUAUAACCGAUUAGAGCGCAGGAGCACCCCGUCUGUCGCGUCCCGUUCCGGCGGGCGUAAUUGUCCCUCUAGUAGCACACGCCGCGAGCCGUGGCGGGGACCGCGGGCCCACACAGCUCGGAUUGGUACCCUCUGUCCGGAGGGGAAACCGUUGGCUGGGAAGCAGUCGGUGACCCUGCCACGGCAUGGCCCAGGGGCAGCUGCCACCUAGGCGGCUGCCUCGCGGCGGAGAACGAAGUCGGUGAUCCACCUGACCCGUCUUGAAACACGGACCAAGGAGUCUAACAAGUGUGCGAGUCUAAGGGUCCCUCGAGACCUGGAGGCGCAGUGAAAGUGAGUGAGAUAUAAGCACAGGCCGAUCCCAGACAUGGGCGCAGGCCGGGGACUUGCCGCCAGGCGGCCGUCGACGGCCUCCCUCGCCCUUCGCGGGGCGGGACGGGGCUCCGGCGGUCCGCCGGCAAGUACCUCGAGAGCACACGCGUUGGGACCCGAAAGAUGGUGAACUAUGCCUGGCCAGGACGAAGCCAGAGGAAACUCUGGUGGAGGUCCGAACCAGUUCUGACGUGCAAAUCGAUUGUCAGAGCUGGGUAUAGGGGCGAAAGACUAAUCGAACCAUCUAGUAGCUGGUUCCCUCCGAAGUUUCCCUCAGGAUAGCUGGCGCUCGGAGGAAUGAAUUUCAUCCGGUAAAGCGAAUGAUUAGAGGCCUUGGGGGCGCAAUGCCCUCAACCUAUUCUCAAACUUUAAAUGGGUGAGAGGUCGAGCUUUCCUAAGCGAAGCUGCGACUGCAAAACGAAUCAGAGUGCCUAGUGGGCCACUUUUGGUAAGCAGAACUGGCGCUGUGGGAUGAACCUAACGCACGAGUUAAGGGGCCUAAACGAAUGCUAAUAUAGACACUGACAAAAGGUGUUGGUUGCUAUAGACAGCAGGGCGGUGGSCAUGGAAGUCCGAAUCCGCUAAGGAGUGUGUAACAACUCACCUGCCGAAGCAACUAGCCCUUAAAAUGGUAUGGCGCUCAAGCAUUCUCCCGAUACUCGGCCGCCGGGGCAACGUCUGGCUCUCGGAUGCAAAUCCUGGGCGAGCCCUCAAGCCCCGGCGAGUAGGAGGGUCGCAGCGGUGAGCGACGAAGGUGUCCGGCGCAGGCCGGCCUGGAGCCGCCGCUGGCGCAGAUCUUGGUGGUAGUAGCAAAUAAUCAAGAAAGAGCCCUCGUUGGCCGAUGUGGAGAAGGGUUCCAUGUCAACAUCAGUUGAACAUGGGUAAGUCGCUCCUAAGCCCAAGGAUAAAGUCCUGUGUCCCAUGGAGUCCGCAGGCAAGCAAGAAAGCAAAAAAAGUGCUCCUCCAAAACAACAACAACAACACCAGCCAGUGUUGUCUAAGGCCAA
rnacentral:rRNA from 3 species